CAAAAUGUAGCAGGGGAAAGAGGGGAAGCAUUAGAAAAGGAAGCCCUAAUCACAAAAAUGCUUCUUAAACUGUUCCUUGCUGCCAGAGAGGGCAAACUGAAAGACCUUCAAGAUAUAUAUAGAGAGAACCAGCGACAUGUGACCCAGGGACUUACUUUUGAAGGAAAUAGUGCUCUGCACAUCGCUGCAAGAGAAGGACAUGAGGAAGUUGUUGAAUGGAUACGUAGUGUGAACUGUGAAGCCCUGCUUGGCUGCAGUUCAUACUUCUGCUAAGAAUAUGCCGUCGCAUGAAGCUGCUAAGAAGGGUACACCUGGGGUUUUGAAAAUUCUGCUUGGGUUUAACAAGUAUGCUGUAUACAGCCGCAAUCAAAUUGGAGAGACUGCCCUAAUAAUGGCUUUAGAGCACGAUCACAGGGAAGCAGCGAAGACUUUGUUAGCAGCCACGCCAUGGUUUAUGGAUUUUUGGCAAAGGAGGACCGUCAGACAUGCCUCCACUCUGCAGCUUAUGCAGGACAUCUAGAUGUAGUACAGCUAAUACUUGGUGAGUCUAGAUUCUGCUUAAAUAUCAUACCUCUCAUGUUGCUGAUAGGGGAUGAAAAGGAUGUCACCCCAUUGCAUGCAGCUGUUCAUGGUGGACAUCAGGAGAUUGUCAGUGAGAUAUUAAAACCUGAGUUGAAUGACUGGCAUAAGAGCGUUAUGAAAAAGAAGGAUAAGUUUGGAGGGUGUGCAAUCCAUGAAAGGCCAUGAAGAUAUUAUAGAUUUAUUCAUGGCAUUAAUGCCAGAUUGUGUCAAAAUAGGAAGCAGCUGCCUUAAAACUGUUGUGCACUUUUCUGUGGAAUAUGACCCACUCUCUGUGUUGAAGAAGUUACUUUUUGAAAAUGAGGGCGAAACUAAAGCCAAACUGGUGAGCUAUGACUGAUAUUUGGGGCAAUACAGAGGCCGCCAUGAACGGAGUGGCUCCUCAGAUUAUUUUCACAUGAUGGAUGAGUUUGAGAUAGAUGAGCUAUUAGGUCUAGUACCACCUCCACCUCCACCUCCACCUAGAGGAGAUGGUGAUUUUGAUGAUGUUGAUGCUGCCCAUGGUGGUUAUGAUGAUGCCGAGGAGGCUGCACAUGCUGAUGUCGUCUCUUCAUAUGUUGAUCUCCUGUGGGCAGACGAUGAUCAGCCUACAGAGAGGAUGGAUCAUACCACAUCAUUGAGGAACCCACAACAUGUUACCUCAAUACCUAGAGAUGUUGGUGCCCCAUUUAUGGGUGCUUCAUGUAGCACUGAGGUGGGUAGUUUUUCACAUGACCCAUGGACCACUGUGGCUUAGCCUCAUAUACCACUAGCUUUUGGAUUGUUUGAUGGCACAUCACAUGUACACCUUCGACCAUCAGUUACUUUGCCUGCAUCACAUGUCCACACCACUACCAAUAUUGGUAUGGCUAUGGGGUUGAGCUAGAUGCAACAAUCGACAUUAUCAUUUGAGGAACGAUGAUUUUCUAAUUUGUUUAUACUAUGUACCUGGCUUUUAUAGGGAUUAUCAAAAUUGAUGUACAAUGUUUUUUUUUGCAGGACUUGGCUAUGACCACUUUUCUUGUUCAUGAUAGUGGACCUCCACGUACCAGUGAGGGCAUUGUAGAGCACAAUCGUAUGGAGGGUGCAGACACUGAUACUACACAAGAGGGUGGAGUCACUGAUACUACACAGGAGGGUGGAGACAUUGAUAUUGCAUAGACACGGGAUGGUGCAUCUCAGGACCAUGUGCAGCAGUAUGAUUCAUCUCAGCCACCUUCACGUGGAGUGAAGAGGACUGCAGAUGAGAUGCACGCGAGUUCUUAGAUUGUAUAUUUUAGAUCAUGUCAUGUUAUUGUAUUGUGGACUUUUUAUGAUGACACUUGUUAUGUUAUCCCGAGACUUGUUAAUAUGUGAUUAUA